rnacentral:rRNA from 1 species
AGUGAACGCUGGCGGCAUGCCUUACACAUGCAAGUCGAACGGUAACAGGUCUUCGGAUGCUGACGAGUGGCGAACGGGUGAGUAAUACAUCGGAACGUGCCUAGUAGUGGGGGAUAACUACUCGAAAGAGUGGCUAAUACCGCAUGAGAUCUACAGAUGAAAGCAGGGGAUCGCAAGACCUUGUGCUACUAGAGCGGCCGAUGGCAGAUUAGGUAGUUGGUGGGAUAAAAGCUUACCAAGCCGACGAUCUGUAGCUGGUCUGAGAGGACGAUCAGCCACACUGGGACUUGGACACGGCCCAGACUCCUACGGGAGGCAGCAGUGGGGAAUUUUGGACAAUGGGCGCAAGCCUGAUCCAGCAAUGCCGCGUGCAGGAUGAAGGCCUUCGGGUUGUAAACUGCUUUUGUACGGAACGAAAAGCCCCGGGUUAAUACCCUGGGGUCAUGACGGUACCGUAAGAAUAAGCACCGGCUAACUACGUGCCAGCCGCCGCUGUAA